CGCCUGUUUACCAAAAACAUCGCCUCUUGCUUCAGUGAAUAAGAGGUCACGCCUGCCCUGUGACUAUAUGUUUAACGGCCGCGGUAUUUUGACCGUGCAAAGGUAGCGCAAUCACUUGUCCUUUAAAUGUGGACCUGUAUGAAUGGCAUAACGAGGGCUUAGCUGUCUCCUUUCUCAAGUCAAUGAACUUGAUCUCCCCGUGCAGAAGCGGGGAUAAAACCAUAAGACGAGAAGACCCUAUGGAGCUUUAGACAAAAAACAGCCCCUGUCAAUAAACCCUAAAUAAAGGAAAUAAACCUAGUGAACCUGUUUUAAUGUCUUUGGUUGGGGCGACCGCGGGGUAACAAAAAACCCCCAUGUGGAAUGAAAACACCCUUUUUAAAACCAAGAGUCACCACUCUAGGAUACAGAACAUCUGACCAAUAAUGAUCCGGCUAAAGCCGAUUAACGAACCGAGUUACCCUAGGGAUAACAGCGCAAUCCUCUUUUAGAGUCCAUAUCGACAAGAGGGUUUACGACCUCGAUGUUGGAUCAGGACAUCCUAAUGGUGCAGCCGCUAUUAAAGGUUCGUUUGUUCAACGAUUAAAGUCCUACGUGAUCUGAGUUCAGACCGG
rnacentral:rRNA from 1 species